AGCGUCUGGGUGUCCGCCGAGAGGCGGGUGAAAAGGGAAUCCGGUGUGAAUCCGGAGCGAUGCAGUCACUGUGUACGGGAGCUGGCCUGUAAAAACCACUGGGAAACCGGGAAGGGCAGGGCAGCGAUGAUCAAAGUCAGGAGACCUGCCCAGACG
rnacentral:ncRNA from 1 species